rnacentral:misc_RNA from 1 species
GAUGAAGAACGCAGCGAAAUGCGAUAAGUAAUGUGAAUUGCAGAAUUCAGUGAAUCAUCGAAUCUUUGAACGCACAUUGCGCCCGCCAGUAUUCUGCGGGCAUGCCUGUUCGAGCGUCAUUACAACCCUCAGGCCCCCGGGCCUGGCGUUGGGGAUCGGCGGAGCCCCCCGUGGGCACACGCCGUCCCCCAAAUGCAGUGGCGGUCCCGCCGCAGCUUCCAUCGCGUAGUAGCUAACACCUCGCGACUGGAGAGCGGCGCGGCCACGCCGUAAAACACCCAACUCUUCUGAAGUUGACCUCGAAUCAGGUAGGAAUACCCGCUGAACUUAAGCAUAUCAUAAGCGGAGGA